CACGCUGUAAACGAUGAAAACUAAGUAUUGCCGCGAGGCAGUGCUGUAGCUAACGCAUUAAGUUUUCCGCCUGGGGAGUACGCUCGCAAGAGUGAAACUUAAAGGAAUUGACGGGGGCCCGCACAAGCAGUGGAGCAUGUGGUUUAAUUCGACGCUACGCGAAGAACCUUACCAGGACUUGACAUGGAAUUUAAAACUCUAGAGAUAGAGCCAUAACAAGUUCACACAGGUGG
rnacentral:rRNA from 1 species